rnacentral:lncRNA from 1 species
AUUGCAUUAAAAAUUAUAUCACUUGCAGUUUUGUUAGUGAUUUUCUGCAGAGAUGUUGGUGUAGCUUGGUGAUGGCUAUGGCAAAUCUGUAUCAUUCUCCUCCUUUAAGGUUAUUAGCCUCGUUGUUCCCUUGCCUCCAUUUUUAUCCUCAGCCAUGCACUGAGCAUCUAAUGCCCGGUAUAGUGUUCGCUACUAGGUAGAUAAGAUGGAUAAGAGUCUCCUUAUGAAACUUAGGGGAAAUGGAGGUCAAGAGGGUUAUCUUUCAUCCCAUUAUUAUAGCACCUUGGAAUUGAGUGCCUGAAAGAAUGUCUGGCAGAAAGCAGAUGCUUAAUAAAUUAAUGUUAAAUAUUAUUAUGGAUCGAAGUUAAUUAUGUAUGUCAUUGAGACAUUUAAAGUGCCUAGUGAGGAAUGUGUAUGUUUAUACAUGCAAGCACACAUGUAUGGGGGCCAAUAUAACAUUUUAAAAGAUAAUAAGUUAGAAUUAAAUACAUUUGAUUUGUGCUGUGAUUGCGAGAAAUUGUCAAAUGGGGUAAAAAAGAACAUGCCAUGCAUUUGAAAUAGCAUGGACUAAGUAAUAGGGGUGGAAAGUGGUAUUUUCUAUCUGAUGGGAAAGUCAUCAUUCAAGACAAGUAUAGCAGAAUAGCAUGAAGUUUAAAAAGUUGUCUCUGGAAUGAAGGACUUGGUUUGUAUGUUAACUACAACCAUCUCACGUCAUAUAACUUUGGACAAGCUAUUUCAUUAUCCUAUACUCUAGUAUCUUUAUCUCUCAUAUGAGAAAAAGAAUAAUAAAUACUUUAUAGGGAAGUGGGGAGACUUGGAUGAUAAC